GUAGUUCAAUGGUAGAACUUCAGCCUUCCAAGCUGACCACGUGGGUUCGAUUCCCAUCA
rnacentral:tRNA from 1 species